UACGGAGGGUGCAAGCGUUAUCCGGAUUCACUGGGUUUAAAGGGUGCGUAGGCGGUCCUAUAAGUCAGUGGUGAAAUAUCGCAGCUCAACUGUGAGGGUGCCAUUGAUACUGUAGGACUUGAGUGAAUUUGAGGUAGGCGGAAUUGACGGUGUAGCGGUGAAAUGCUUAGAUAUCGUCAAGAACACCGAUAGUGAAGACAGCUUACCAAGCUUCAACUGACGCUGAGGCACGAAAGUGUGGGGAUCAAACAGG
rnacentral:rRNA from 1 species